rnacentral:rRNA from 1 species
UGGGGAAUAUUGCACAAUGGAGGGAACUCAGAUGCAGCGACGCCGCGUGAGUGAUGAAGGACUUCGUUUCGUAAAACUCUGUUCUAUGGGAAGAAAAGGACUGUACCAUAGGAGAAAGCUCCGGCUAAAUACGUGCCAGCAGCCGCGGUAAUACGUAUGGAGCGAGCGUUGUCCGGAAUUAUUGGGCGUAAAGGGUGCGCAGGCGGCUUUACAAGUUGGAUGUGAAAUAUUGUGGCUCAACCACAAACGUGCAUCCAAAACUGCAAAGCUUGAGUUAAGGAGAGGUAAGUGGAAUUCCUGGUGUAGCGGUGGAAUGCGUAGAUAUCAGGAGGAAUACCGGUGGCGAAGGCGACUUACUGGACUUAAACUGACGCUCAGGCACGAAAGCGUGGGGAGCAAACAGG